UUGAAUCUCGGAUUUUGAUGAUAUAAUCAAUUGGUGGGUUAAUUGAUCUAAUCCAUAUUAUUGAGUUAAGUGUGCAGAAUUAACUACGAUAACCAGAAAACAUAAAGCAAGGAUACCGGAGUCGAGCUCGAUGGACGUUUAAGAGACCGAAGAAUCAUCGGAGAUGCUGCCGGAACCAUCCGAGAAGAAAUUGGGAACGUGUCGG
rnacentral:lncRNA from 1 species